rnacentral:rRNA from 1 species
CGUCUUAGCAUGCAGUCGGGCGGCAAGCGCCAGCAAUGGCGCCUAGAGCGGCGGACUGGUGAGUAACGCGUGGGUGACCGACCCUGGGGAUGGGGACAGCCGCUGGAAACAGCGGGUAAUACCGAAUACGCUCGCCGGGCCGUGGUCUGGCGAGGAAAGGGGCUUCGGCCCCGCCCUGGGACGGGCCCGCGUCCUAUUAGGUAGUUGGCGGGGUAAGAGCCCACCAAGCCGGAGAUAGGUAGCCGGCCUGAGAGGGCGAACGGCCACACUGGGACUGAGAUACGGCCCAGACUCCUACGGGAGGCAGCAGCUAAGAAUAUUCCGCAAUGGGCGAAAGCCUGACGGAGCGACGCCGCGUGGGCGAGGAAGGCCGAAAGGUUGUAAAGCCCUUUUGCGGAUGAAGAAUAAGGCUGGGAGGGAAUGCCCGGCGGAUGACGAUAGUCCGUGAAUAAGCCCCGGCUAAUUACGUGCCAGCAGCCGCGGUAACACGUAAGGGGCGAGCGUUGUUCGGAAUUAUUGGGCGUAAAGGGCGCGUAGGCGGCCGUGUAAGUCCGGCGUGAAAUGGCGGGGCCCAACCCCGUCACUGCGUUGGAAACUGUAUGGCUUGGGUCACGGAGGGGCAGUUGGAAUUCCUGGUGUAGGGGUGAAAUCUGUAGAUAUCAGGAAGAACACCGGUGGCGAAGGCGAACUGCCAGCCGAUGACUGACGCUGAGGCGCGAAAGCGCGGGGAGCGAACAGGAUUAGAUACCCUGGUAGUCCGCGCUAUAAACGAUGCACACUAGGUGUCGGGUCGAGCGAUUCGGCGCCGGAGCGAACGCGAUAAGUGUGCGCCUGGGAGUAUGCCCGCAGGUGAAACUCAAGGAUGACGGGGCCCGCACAGCGUGAGCAUGUGUUAUCGAUGAUACGCGAGACUACUGGGUUGACAUGUAGCGAGCNCGGAG